rnacentral:rRNA from 1 species
UACGGGGGGGCAAGCGUUUUUCGGAAUUUCUGGGCGUAAAGGGCUCGUAGGCGGCCAACUAAGUCGGAUGUGAAAUCCCCAGGCUUAACCUGGGAACUGCAUCCGAUACUGGAUGGCUUGAAUCCGGGAGAGGGAUGCGGAAUUCCAGGUGUAGCGGUGAAAUGCGUAGAUAUCUGGAGGAACACCGGUGGCGAAGGCGGCAUCCUGGACCGGCAUUGACGCUGAGGAGCGAAAGCCAGGGGAGCAAACGGG